UUGGAGGGCAAGUCUGGUGCCAGCAGCCGCGGUAAUUCCAGCUCCAAUAGCGUAUAUUAAAGUUGUUGCAGUUAAAAAGCUCGUAGUUGAACUUCGGAAUUUGCCCAUUGGUCAGGCUUAACUGUUUGCACUGGUGUGCCGAGUUCCUACCUUCUGAGGAAUCUCCAUGUCAUUCAGUUGGUGUGGGGGGAAUCAGGACUGUUACUUUGAAAAAAUUAGAGUGUUUAAAGCAGGCAUCCGUCUGAAUACAUUAGCAUGGAAUAAUAAAAUAGGACGGUUUGGUUCUAUUUCGUUGGUUUCUAGGAUCACCGUAAUGAUUAAUAGGGAUAGUUGGGGGCAUUAGUAUUCAAUUGUCAGAGGUGAAAUUCUUGGAUUUAUUGAAGACUAACUACUGCGAAAGCAUUUGCCAAGGAUGUUUUCAUUAAUCAAGAACGAAAGUUAGGGGAUCGAAGACGAUCAGAUACCGUCGUAGUCUUAACCAUAAACUAUGCCGACUAGGGAUCGGACGAAGUUAAUUUUUUAAUGACUCG
rnacentral:rRNA from 1 species